AUGGAUAAUGAGACAUCUGGAAAGAAUAACCGCACACCAGCAGACGACAUGGUGUACAUUGAGAGAGCAGAGGAGAAUCUAAAGCAGAAAGGAGUGGUACGAAGACAGUUCCCAGUGAAGCUGGCCUUUGCAUGUACAAUACAUAAGGUACAGGGUAUGACAACCACAUCAGCUGUUGUCUCUCUUAAGAGCAUUUUUGAGCCCGGCAUGGCCUACGUAGCUCUCAGUAGAGUGACGUCUCUCAGUGGACUGUAUCUUCUUGAUAUGGAGGGGAAAAAAAUAUUCACUAACCCAGAAAUCACUGCAGCACUUGAGAACAUGAGACAAGCCAACCUUGAUGACAUGAUGCCUCUUCUACACGUGAGGCAAACACUGAGCAGGUCAGACGUUUUCACCAUUGUUCAUCAUAAUACAGAGGGACUGCCAGCUCACAUUAAUGACAUCAAGAGUCACCAUGAAUUGUGUCUAGCAGAUGUUUUGUGCCUAACAGAAACACACCUGCGGGGCUCUUUUGUCGCAAAGAGUCUCCACUUGGAAAAUUAUAAUUUGUUUAAACGCAACAGACACCUGUCCUACACAAACUUUCCCCAGAUGGCAAACAGAAGUGGUGGUGGAGUUGCUGUUUAUGUGAAAAGUAACAUUCAAGUGCAUGAAAAACAGUACAUCCAUAAUGUAACUGACCUUGAAUUUCUGGCUUUAAAGGUUGAAGCACCAGUCAGUGCUCUGAUUGCAGUUGUGUAUAGACCUCCAGACUACACUCUGAGGCCAUUCUUGAAAAACCUGGUAAGCCUAUUAGACUCAUUAGAGAUCAUGGACUGUCAUCCCAUCAUAGUGUGUGGUGAUUUUAAUGAGAAUGUUUUAUCCAGUGCAAACAAACCAAUCCUGGAGCUGUUUGAGUCUAGGGGAUACGCACAGGUCAUCACUGCCCCUACCACAGAGAAGAACACACUGCUUGACCUCAUUUUCAUUUCUCAGCCAGAGCGAUGUCUCCAUUCUGGAGUCAUGAAGACCUACUAUAGUUACCAUGACCCUGUAUACUGUGUAUUGUCCUGUGAUGAUUCAUGA
rnacentral:lncRNA from 1 species